rnacentral:rRNA from 1 species
UACGUAGGUGGCAAGCGUUGUCCGGAAUUACUGGGUGUAAAGCGCGUGUAGGCGGGAGGCCAAGUCUGCUGUGAAAUCCCUCGGCUUAACCGGGGAACUGCGUCUGAUACUGGAUGGCUUGAGUGUGGCAGAGGGAGGUAGAAUUCCACGUGUAGCAGUGAAAUGCGUAGAGAUGUGGAGGAAUACCGAUGGCGAAGGCAGCCUCCUGGGCCAACACUGACGCUCAUGCACGAAAGCGUGGGGAGCAAACAGG